ACCAGCAGCCAUAUCACUCACAAUAUCACUCACAACAUCAACUCACAACUGGCAACCUACUGAAGCUUAGCAGGUGUGAGCCUGGUCAGUACCUGGAUGGGAGACCUCCUGGGAAAAACUAAGGUUGUUGCUGGAA
rnacentral:rRNA from 1 species